CACAACGUUCGGUCUGCUUGCGCAGGAGGUACACACAGGAGAAUUAUUUCAAAUUGGGGGGAGGGACUUCAUGCCUAACAUGAGGUCCGAUUAGGCUCCGCGAAGUUCAAAAUUAGGGGGAGCAUCGCCCGCAUUAUUCAAAAUUCGGGAAGGGCGUGAAUUCAUGGCCAACAUGAAUUCUGAUUAGGUUUAAUGGGGAAUUGUGGGGCGUCCCCCGCACCAGUCAAAAUUGGGAGGGACGAGAAUUUAUGUCCAAUAUGAAUUCUGAUUAGGCGUAAUGGGGAACAUUUGGGGGGUACAUUUUAAUCUGGCCUUAUUCAAAAUUGAACUCCUUCUUUCAUUUUUCGUUAGAUUAUUCCAAAACGGGGGGGAGAAUUCGUGUAUAACACGAAUUUCAUUAGAGACCAUGUUGAUUAUACAAAAUUAAGGAGUUCUUAAAGGGAGAAUUAUUUCAAAUUGGGGUUAAAUUAAAACCUUCUUUCAUUUUUCGUUUGGUUGACAUCGUCGACAUCCUAUGCGUUAUUGCAAAGGCGUCGAAUAAGACAUGGCGCGGUGUCCAAAGUACAGACGCCAUCAGCGCAAUGACAGGGGGGAGGAGACGGUUGAUCGAAAACCCACGAGGGGCAUUCAUCCACGACGAGAGUCGUUUCGUGGAGCAAAAUGUAAGUCGAGUGGUUCUGCUGUGAGAGGGGCAUUCAUCCUCGACGCGAGGCAUUUCGUGGAGCAAAAUGUAAGUUGACCGUCUCUGCUGUGAGAGUGUAUUCUAUGUAUGACAUUGUUUUUUUCAGGAACCGCUGUCGUCGCAUAUCAUGCAGCACAGGAAACGCCGUCCAGCAACCUCCCCGUUAGGCCCAACUGCCUUCCUGUAUAGCAGUACGACCCCUCCUUGUACAGCAUUGGGCAAGGGAGACCGUGAGCGCCUUUGUGAAUCGAGUGGCCGUGGAAGAAAGAGCAGGCAUCUAUCGACCAAGUCCUUUGUAUGUAUUCAAUAAAGAUGUUUCAGUGAAAGAACA